CUGGCAUUGCUCUUACCUGGGCCUCCAGCUGUUUAGCAGCCUGUUUUUCUGGGGCUGUGGGGCUGCUCAGUUCUGCAGUCUGCUGCAUCUCUUGGGCACUGAGUCAGGGACUGAAAGAAAGAUGAAGCUCUCAAGAGGCAUAAAAGUCUGCAGAAUUUACAAAAAGAGUGCAGCAGCACAAGUGCCCACUCAUCUCAAAAGGAGGAAUUCAGUAUUGCUCUGUCUUGUGUCAAGGAGUAAUAGAGAUGUGAGAGACUAACAGCACCCUGUGCUGAGGCAUGGCAUCAGCUGGGUAUGAGGAAAAACAGGAUUCUGGGCCUCAUUAACUCAGUGACUUCAACAGGAUGAUACAGAAAUCCAGUGGGAAAAGAAACCCUGCUUUAACUCAGCAGCAAUUUGUUUUGUUAGCAAAAUAUUUUCAAGUGACUGGUGACUAAAUGAGAAAGUAGAUUGGGUGGGGGUGAAGAGGAGGGUGAAGAAUGAGUAUUUCAGCAAUUAUACACAUGAAACCAGAGACUGGCUGGAUAUGCUGCAACACAGUCCAGCUGCCUGACUGUGUAAUUAAACUCCAGCCUGUCUGGUUGAAAUGCAGGAGGCAUUUCUGCAGUGAGGUUAAAUUAAGAGUUGGUGAUAACAAGGAGACAUUAUGGAAAUGUCAAAAUUAGCAUGUGCUGAAUGAGAGUGUGGAUGGCCCAAAGAAGCAGGGAAGGGAAAGUCUGAGGAAGAAAAGAGCCUCCUUACUGUGGCUGUUCCUAUUUGCCCUCUGCAGAGCCGUUACUCCACCACAUAGACAGUUUCAGCCAGUGCUAGUACUUUUUCAAGAUGGUUAACAUGAGAAGGGAAAGACUGAAAGUAAACUCCUGCUCUGAACUGCUCUGUGGCAUUGUCCUCCUUCACCAUCAGAUACAUUUCCUGCAUGGGGCCAGAACAGGAAGCACAGUUCUCCUCCUCCACAGCUCACUUGGGAGGGGCUGGGAAACCAAAUCCUGCAUGCUACAAAUUCUGAACCUUGCUCAAGGCAGGAAAGGAAAAAGGAGAGGGAGAGAUUAGUCUUCUAGGGAGCCCAGCAUGAGGAUCUGCCUCUUGAUAUUAUUAAGGAAGUCACCGAGCAGUUUUUAAUAAGAUUUUUUUU
rnacentral:lncRNA from 1 species